rnacentral:tRNA from 1 species
GGGGCCGUGGCUGACAAGGUAAUGGUGCCGCACUGUCUAUGCGGAAAAUGAGGGUUCGAUCCCCUUCGGCCUCG